GACGAACGCUGGCGGCGUGCCUAAUACAUGCAAGUAGAACGCUGAAGGAGGAGCUUGCUUCUCUGGAUGAGUUGCGAACGGGUGAGUAACGCGUAGGUAACCUGCCUGGUAGCGGGGGAUAACUAUUGGAAACGAUAGCUAGUACCGCAUAAUAGUAGAUGUUGCAUGACAUUUGCUUAAAAGGUGCAAUUGCAUCACUACCAGAUGGACCUGCGUUGUAUUAGCUAGUUGGUGGGGUAACGGCUCACCAAGGCGACGAUACAUAGCCGACCUGAGAGGGUGAUCGGCCACACUGGGACUGAGACCCGGCCCAGACUCCUACGGGAGGCAGCAGUAGGGAAUCUUCGGCAAUGGACGGAAGUCUGACCGAGCAACGCCGCGUGAGUGAAGAAGGUUUUCGGAUCGUAAAGCUCUGUUGUAAGAGAAGAACGAGUGUGAGAGUGGAAAGUUCACACUGUGACGGUAGCUUACCAGAAAGGGACGGCUAACUACGUG
rnacentral:rRNA from 1 species